CGUGACACCCUGAACUGUAAGAGCCUGACGGAGAGAUGGAGGCUUCAGCAGCUCUUACAAUGCUGUUUAUUGCACAGACGAGG